AUGUCUAACGAAGUAGCUAGCACUAGAAGAAAGAAAGAGAACGGGACAUCGAAAGCAGGAAGGAGAAACAGCUACUGCGGAAUGGCCGGUGAGGAGGAGGUGCAGGUGGUAGAGUCCUGCUUUGUAACGCCGGCCAAGGACACGCCGCGAAAAGCACUGCGGCUGUCACCACUCGACCUCCUCAUGCUAGCCAACAGAGGCUACACCCCACUCGUCCACUUCUAUCGCCGCCGAUGUUCCGUCGACGACUUCUUCGACGUGGCUAAGUUGAAGACAGCACUGGGCAAGGCCCUCGUGCCCUUCUACCCCAUGGCCGGCCGCCUCAGGGCCGACGCCGACGGCAGGUUAGAGAUUGACUGCAACGGCGAGGGCAUGCCCUUCCUCGUGGCUCACUGUCACCUCACCGUUGAUGACUUUAGCGAGUUCAAGCCAUCACCAAGGUUAAGGGGGUUGUUUGUUCCCCACACCGACGACUCAGAGGGCAUCGUGUGCAGCACUCAGGUGACAUUCUUGAAGUGUGGUGGGGUGGCCUUAGGGACGGCAGUGCACCAUGGCGCUAUGGAUGGCACUGCCGCGUUCCACUUCUUCCAGACAUGGUCUGCUUUCUCAAGGGAGGGCGACUGGGCUGUGAUGAAGACCCCCUACCACGACCGCAGCCUCUUGUUUGCGCGCAACCCACCCUUUGUUCAUCCCGACACCCUCUCCAUUUUUUGCCUCAAGGUAAACAUGUCGCAGCUGUCGGGGCCGGUUGUCAACGAGGUUUUCACCCUUGGCAAGGGCCAAGUUUCCACUCUCAAGCGCAUCUGCGGUGGCGACAUGAGCACCUUUAGUGUCGUGAGUGCCCACAUGUGGCAGUGCAUGUGUUUGGCCCGGCGGCUACCGCCGAACUGCACGACGCGCCUCGUGUUCCCGGCCAAUGUUCGGCGCAGUAUGACGCCGCCUCUUCCGGACGGCUACUUCGGCAACGCGAUAACAUAUGUAAGUGUUGCCAACGAAGCACGGGGCAUCGCCUCAGGUGACCUGGCCUACAUAGUGCGCCGGAUUAGAGACAGCCUCAGCCGGGUGGACGAUGAGCUAGUGCAUUCUGCAGUCGACUACCUCGAGCUAGCAAAGACGGACAACCGCCCUGCUACAGGCAGUUUGCCAGCGACAGAUAUGAGAGUGGUUAGUUGGCUUGGCAUGCCGGUGUAUGAUGUGGAUUUCAGUUGGGGAAAGCCAUUGGCUAUGUUGCGUGCUGAAUCAAACCGCGGAGGCUAUGUGCACCUGAUUGACAGCGGGCAUGGGGAUGGCAGCAUACGCCUAGUCAUGUGUAUAGAGGCUUCAAUUCUCAAGGAGUUCAAGCGUUUGUUGUAUGCCAAGUUUGAGAGCAUGGUGUAUUCCAAGUUCUAG
rnacentral:rRNA from 1 species